UUUCUCCAACCUCGCUCUGUUUCUCCAAAACCCCUCUUUAAUUAGUUUGUCUAAUUCUUCUGUUUCUCUUCCCAAAGUUUUAAUCAAUUUCAAUCAGCCCUACAUCUCAGGUACUAUAUGCAUAUCAACUUUGCUUUGUUAUAAAUUUAACUACGUAAAAAAUUGAAUUUUUACACCUUUCUAUUGUCCAACCUCUUCCUUCUCUCUCUUUUGAUUAAUUAGGUUUGAUAGAAAGAAAUUAAGGUCUUUGGUAAUCCUCUUUACCAGCUUAAGGUUUCUGCGAUUCCUCUUGCUUUAAAGGUACAAAUCUCUUUUUUUAAACAUCUCUGCCAAUCUCUCUUUCUCUAAUAUGACACUCAUGUAAUCUUCUACCUUCUUAUUUAAUUCACCAAAUUUGUUAAAUUUUUAUUCAAUUCACCAUUAUUUAUUAUUACUUAUCAUAAAUUUUUGUUCUUGUAUAUGUAUAACAUUAAUAUUUCUUAUCCUAUGUGUUGGAUGGCUUUAUUUCCUUAGAAGUGAAAAUACAAUUGUUCUAUUAACACACUGAAUUGUCAGAGGGUUAUAAUUCCUUACAAUUAAUUAUCAAUAGAAUUGGUCCUACAUUACAAGUUGUUAUGAUUGGCUGCAGACUGUUGGACGUUCAGGUGAAUUGGUAUAUUAUCCAUAUGCUACUGAAAAAGAGUUUUCAGUAGAGUUUAUUAUAAGUUUCAUAAGUUUGAUAGCUAUCAUAACAAGUUUAGAGAAUAGCACAAUAUCCUUUCCACAAUCUAAUACAUGCAUAAUCUUUGAAUCAAACACGGGACACCCGAUUAGCUCAUGUAAGGCAUCCCACAUGGUGUCAUUCAUCAGCUUCUACGUGUGCAUAUAAUUGCUUUAAAUUGAGGACCUCAUAUUCCACCUGUCACAAAAUAUAUUUUAAAUUGAUGCUACUCCGGCAUAUACAAAAUAGAUUUUGCCUGGAAACGCUUUUGUAGUGAUUCAUGUGGUGUCAAGUAUUAUUGUGUUCUUGGAAACCUAUCGGAAAAAAACUCAGAACACAAUCUGAAUUUUUAUUUUUAAUUGAAGAGGUUUUUGGUAACCGCUUCAAUUAAUGUUUUGGUAUAUUAAUUUAUUAGGGUUGGUAGGGAUAGUUGGGCCCACAUUUGGGAUUUUGGGGACGAUAGGGAACUUGGGAUUUUGGAGAUGGUAGGAUCUGGGGUAUGGCAGGAUUUGGAAUACCUAAAAAGAUCUGUAUGAAGCAGCAGGAAGGAAGAAUAUAAUGCUUAGUAUAUCAUAAAUGUGAUUAUUUUCCCCCAUAAAAUUUUCAGAAGAUUCUCAUGAAAUACAUACAAGAUCAUACCACUGUAAGAAGCACGGAAAUGCCUGCAGUGCAGCAGCUAUCAGAACAGAAAUGGGAGUUGCUGGUUUGCUUCUAGGGUCCAUACCAAGUCUAUUUUGGUGAUUACUAGCCGCCCCAAUAAGGGUCGAAUGCUUUCUUUUGGUUUUAGCUGGAUGUUCUAAAGCAUAUAUUUUGUCCUUUUCGUUAGCAAUAUUCAUUUUAGAAAGCCAUGUGCAUGAUACAAAAAUAUUAACAUAAACGUUUCAAAAAAUUGCAAAAGUAGAAUUUUAAAAAGUGUGAUAUAGCUAAUCAAAGAGAGGUAUGAACCAUUCAUUUUCAGAAAUAUUCUAAUGGAGACUAUCGAAUAAAUGUUGCUAAUUGAAGAAAGGUAUGCUGAAGUACAAUAACUGGAAUGUGUUUUUCGAAGGGCCAGUUCAAGGCUUUUUCAUAUACUAGCCUACUAUUUUCCAAAAGUUGUUCCAAGUGUGUGAGGACCUUCUCGACGACUCGACGGAGUGUAAUACCUAUCUAAAAACUAUUCAAUUUCGAGGGGAAAAUCCUGUAUUCCUCAUUAUAAAUUUUCAUGAGAUAAUCUGAGUGAAAAUGUACUUAAGAUUACAAACUCAGUUUUUGAUUUCCAAGUUUUUUUUUUCCUAAAGACAAUAAGGGACUAGGUGUAUAAUUGUUAGCUGGGAAUUUUUUGAUUAUCGAGUCAGUCAGUAUUCUAAGGUGCUGUUUGUUUUUUAUUAAGUCGGUCUGAACGACUGAACUUAAUGAUGGACCCAACGUAUUCAGUCCCCAGACUGUUUGUUUUUCCUUAAAUGGUUCAGUGCUUAAGGCCCAUUAAGUGAUAAAUGAGAUUAAGUCAUUCAGCCAGAAAUUUGGGCAGAAUGAAACACUGAAUUGCUUAACGACGGAGAAGUCCGACUUUAACCUCAUAUUUCUCUCUCUCCUCGCUCGUCUUCUCUCUUAUGGGCGACUGGUUCUCUCUCUCGCGCGCGUGUUUCUUCUCUAAAUCGAGGUUGUUUCGAAUCCCAUUAAUUUAAUUCCAUUUGUUCUUUGUUCUUUUGUGAUUGAGAUACAAUUUUCCACUUCAAUUUCAGAUAUUAUAGUAUGUUUUGAAUUAUAGAUUAGUAGAGGUUCUAGAUUUAUUUGAUUCGUGGGAAUAUUGAUUUCUGCCCGCCUAUUGUUUGAUUAAUUGCCUACAAGAUGGAUUUUUUUGAAGUGGGGUGUUGAUUUUUUACUUGGUGUUAUGUUGGAGUGAAUUACUAUCAUUUUUAUCUCAAGUAAUCUCUGUUCAUGGGUUUUAAUGGUUGUGGACUAGUGGUGUUUUGUUGGUGGUAGCAAAAUAGAAAUUUUAUACACAUCGUUAUGGAGGUCUGCACUCUAGUGUAAGAGAUUGGUUCUGCCAAUUGGCUUGAUGGAGGUUUGUUGUAAUACCUUGUAUGUAUGUAUGCUGAUGUAUUGUUUUGACUUUAGACCAAACCUGUUCACACCAGAUAGGAAUGGAAUUGUACCGACUUAACUUGAAACCGACUUGCUGCUCAAUUGAAACUGAUUUGGUUAUAACUUUGUGUGUUCACACUAUAUAACAAUGGUGGAAGAGGGAAACAGCUCUGUGUAGGUGCAGAUCAAAUACAAAAUUAUAAAAAUGAGAUAAGUAUAAGGAAGCUAGUAGGAAACUUGGAAUUCUAUGCUUGGGACAUGUAGCUUGUGAUUUAUUUUAGUAAACGAUUAUCAUAGCUAUUUUCUUCGCGAAAGUUAAGGUAAGUUACAUGAUUUGAUAUCUUCUCUUGCUUUUAGGAGAUAGAUGAGGUUAGUGGGUGUAAGAGUAUACUAUAGUUAUAGUCCAAUUUCGGUUAUGCGUAUUAAUUGAAUUUGUUUGAUUUUGAUUUCAUGAAAUUGAUAUCAUUAUUCGGUUAUUGUUGGAAAAUUGAUAGGAAAGCAUGUUAGUGUGUUUAUUUGAUUCUAACAUGAUAUUGAUUGUCAUAAAUCCUAAUUGACGCUGCAAUGAAUUAUUAAAUUAUUGGUGAUAUUAUUCAUGUAUAAUUUUCAUGCCAAAGGUGAGAUUGCAUAUUUUGAAAUUUAUGCGCAUUGAUAGUUAAGAUGCAUUUAAAUUGAAUGUAUGGAUUGAUUUGUGUGAAAAGGGCUUUCGAGCCAGAGACUGUUUUGAACAGUCUGAAUUUGGGGAGACGUCCCUGGAGUGUACGGAGAGUAUUGCUCGGUGUCGCAUACAGAAGUACACUCAGUGGUGUUAUGUCACCAACCUUAUGAGCCUGCGGAGAGUAUUGCUCGAUGUCGCAUACAGAUGCAUGGCUGGGGUACUGCGGUACCAGAUGAUUUGAUAUCAGAUGGAUGGGCUUUAUGCCAUAUGUGUAAUGAUUAGAUUGUUUAUAUAAUUGUUUAUUGAUUCGAGUUGCUGGAAUUGAUAUAAUGAUAAUAAUUGAUACAUGUAUUGUAUUGCUAUUUUUUAUUGGGUGCGCUGAUUCCGUCCCUGGGAUCAAGAUCGGAUAUCAAGUUGUGUAACUUGCUAGCGUUUAAUCGCUCCUUUUUCCCUUCCUACCAGGAAACAGGUAAAGCGAUUCUCGGAGCGUGCGGAGAGGAUCUAGUUGGAGAUAGUUAGCUUAGCAGGUGCUCUAAGUUGUAGUUAGUCUUUUGUUAUCAGUGUAGCCCUUGGGGCAAACACAGUAUGUUAUCCUUUCAGUUGUGUGUUUUUCUUUCAGUUCAACCCUUGUAUAUAUGUAUAUACAGAGUUCUGCUUGAAUAAAUCUUCCGCUGUUGUUUUGUUCGAAUUUUGUUCGUGUGAUAUUUUAUUAUUCUGUCCUUACAUGGAUAUUGGAUUUGGAGCUUGGUGUCACGUGGCAGUAGUGUGAACCUACGGUCCAUGGUGGACAUAUGGAGAACAUUACGACUCUGGAGUCUGGUCUUAGCCUGAUCAACUAGGAUUGGAUUUUGGGGGCGUCACAUUUGCACUCUAGUGUAGGAGAUUUAUAAUGGUACUAUUUAUAACAUUGUCCAGUGUGUUUUCCCAAUAUAUAUAUGAAAUUUGUAUUCAUCUGAUAUACACAUUUUCAUUGGAGUAGUAAUCUACUUGUGUUGUAUAAGUGUAAAAUUUGUUUGAAAUAGUGAUGCAGAAUCCACGCUAAUGUGUAUGGCUAUUAUUUUAUGUUGUUUUGAUUAAUACACUGGUUGCCAUAGAAAGUAAAGUGUUAUGUGGUAUCGGGUAUGAUGAGUUUCUUCAGCUCAGUAGGUGCGUGUGUAUUACUUAUUUUUGUUGUCGUUGUGUGUAUUGGUUUUUGUUUGCUGGCAUCGUCUGUAUUACUUGCUGUCUUGGAACUCAUGGAUUCUCAGUGUCCCCUGAAGCUUGUUAUAUAGAAUUGUAGGUAAAAGCUUAAUACUUUGAGUGAUGUUAGAACUCUUGUCUAUUUAUUAACGUAAAUUCGUGUCACGUUGUUGUUGUUUUUUUUUUUCUUUUUUUUUUUUUUUUUUCCUGUUGAGAAGUUGUUGAUAAACACAGUAUGCUCAUACACAAUUAGGCACAGUUUGGUGGUCAGAAGCUUAUAUUUAGUUUUAGAUAGAGAAGUUGUCUUCUCAUAAAAAACUCUUAUUGUUGCAACUAGAAUGGUAAUGAUUUAACUGUCGACAAGUUACACAGACGGGGAAUUAUGCUUCCAAACAGAUGUCGUCUUUGUAAAGAGGCGGAAGAAACUAGUGCACAUCUUUUCUUGAGAUGCAGGUUUACUAAAAGGCAUAUGGGAGGAGCUGGUGGUAGUCAAGAGAGAGGUAAGACAGGCAAUCAGCAGCUGGAACUCUGCCAGUAUCUACUAGAAAAUUGGCCUGAUUUCAACAGCAGGGACUUGUCACAACCUGUAUUGGCAGUCCUCCUUUUUGCAGUCAUAUGGGUUAUUUGGAAACCCGUAACGAGGUUCUUUUCAAUGAAGGAGAGGUGGUCUUUGUAAAAGUGAUCCAGGCAAUUAAGGUUGCUGUUUGGAGCUAGAUGAAUAUCAGCAACAAAGCUAUGAACCUGCGGCAGAAUGUACGCUUCACUGAUCUUCUAUUCGGAUGGAGAGGGGUUAUGCUUGAACAAUGGUAAAGCCUGCAGCAGCUAGAGGUAUGAUAUUGCUUGUAAGGGACUGAGUAUGCGAAGAAUGAAACAAUCAGGUGGAACAGCUUCAGCAACAGUACAGUGUUUGUCUGUUUUAUUGAGUUGUUAAGUCUGUAUGUUUUUGUGGGUUUAAACUGACGAUGUUCUUUUGAACAUGCUGAUCAGUACUUGUAAUCUUUGCUUAUAUUAAUGAUAUUAUUACCUUGAUAAAAAAAAAAAAAAUGGUAAUGAUUUAACUCUUGUGUCGGUACGUAUCUAGUGUCAUGUGUGUCUGUCUUUUCAUACAUUAAUUACAUUACAUCUUUGACCUUAAAAUGUCCAACAGCUUAUCGUAGUUUAUAAUUGCUAAAUAGU
rnacentral:lncRNA from 1 species